rnacentral:rRNA from 1 species
AGUGAACGCUGGCGGUAGGCCUAACACAUGCAAGUCGAACGGCAGCACAGUAAGAGCUUGCUCUUACGGGUGGCGAGUGGCGGACGGGUGAGGAAUACAUCGGAAUCUACUUUUUCGUGGGGGAUAACGUAGGGAAACUUACGCUAAUACCGCAUACGACCUACGGGUGAAAGCAGGGGAUCUUCGGACCUUGCGCGAUUGAAUGAGCCGAUGUCGGAUUAGCUAGUUGGCGGGGUAAAGGCCCACCAAGGCGACGAUCCGUAGCUGGUCUGAGAGGAUGAUGUGCCACACGGGAACUGAGACACGGUCCAGACUACUACGGGAGGCAGCAGUGGGGGAUAUUGGACAAGGGGCGCAAGCCUGAUCCAGCCAUACCGCGUGAGUGAAGAAGGCCGUCGGGUUGUAAAGCCCUUUUGUUGAGAAAGAAAAGCAGCAGGUUAAUACCCCGCUGUUCUGACGGUACCCAAAGAAUAAGCACCGGCUAACUUCGUG